AUGUGCAAAGCCAAACCACACAUAAAAAAGCCUGUGAAGUCCAAAUCCCAUCUGAUCUUGGAAAAAGAAUCAGUGUCAGCUCUGGUUAGUACUUGGAUGGGAGACCAUCAAUGAAUAUCAGGUGCUGCAUGCU
rnacentral:rRNA from 1 species